rnacentral:rRNA from 1 species
UGGGGAAUAUUGCACAAUGGGCGCAAGCCUGAUGCAGCCAUGCCGCGUGUAUGAAGAAGGCCUUCGGGUUGUAAAGUACUUUCAGCGAGGAGGAAGGCGGUAAGGUUAAUAACCUUAUCGAUUGACGUUACUCGCAGAAGAAGCACCGGCUAACUCCGUGCCAGCAGCCGCGGUAAUACGGAGGGUGCAAGCGUUAAUCGGAAUUACUGGGCGUAAAGCGCACGCAGGCGGUCUGUCAAGUCGGACGUGAAAUCCCCGGGCUCAACCUGGGAACUGCAUUCGAAACUGGCAGGCUAGAGUCUUGUAGAGGGGGGUAGAAUUCCAGGUGUAGCGGUGAAAUGCGUAGAGAUCUGGAGGAAUACCGGUGGCGAAGGCGGCCCCCUGGACAAAGACUGACGCUCAGGUGCGAAAGCGUGGGGAGCAAACA